ACCAAUUCUCCAACGCUCAGGACACCAGCUGGGGGUCCUACAGCUCAACUCGGUCCGGACACUAACUACUGGAGCAGCCACAGACACAGAGUCGGGGUAUCACAUGAGAAAUCUGAAAUCAUUCUCCCUGGGCUAAAGCCAAGGAGUCAGCAGGGACACCGUCACUGAAUGCAGGGCCCACCCUAAACCCAAGAGGAUCCCAUCUUGAGAUCCUUACCUGAAUUACUUCACAGAUGGGAUGUGACGCCAGCCUCCCGUCCAGUCCCGUCCUCUGGAGCUGCCAGGAGCGGUGCAGGGGGAGAGGCUGAGAUGCCGCAGUCAGUGCCUCCGGGAGAUGAAGGAGCCACGCACACCAACAUUAAGAGGUCUGCUCAGGGCAUGAUUCUGCCUCCGAGGCAGGGCUCAGACCUAGGAGCUGGGGGCAGGCUUGGGGUGACCACAGGCAACACAUCCUAAGCUUGACUCCGUCAACUGAGCGACCCCGAAGGACACUCCAGCCCAGUCCCU